GUCAAAAAAAAAUAAGUCAGACUGACAACAUUGCCAAUGGACUCCAUUCAAGUUGCAAUUAACAACUCUUACCUCCAUGUCUUAAAGGUGGUUUAGGAAAAUUGCAGACAGACCAUGAGGCAAACAGUGGAGAUAAUGAGGUGCGAUCUUACCUGGCCUGCAGUUUCAGACGCCCAAGCCAGUUACCUGUGUCAGGAAAUGGGGAUCCGAAGAGCAAGGGUGGCAACACACCACGCAGCUGAGUUUGCCCCACAAGCUUUGAAGAACUCCAGUACGGAACUGACAGGACCAUUACCCAGUUGCAGGCCCUUCCCAGAGGAGAGGAAAGAAUGAGUUCUCUGCCUGUGGUGCACCAUCUCUUGAACUCCACCCUCAGCCCAGUCUUUGUUCCAGCUACAAGAUAGGUAGAGACCAAGAACAGCAAGAAAUGGUGACGGGUCUUUAUUGUCAGAGUGAGGAAGCAGCGGUCCCUGGUUAGUGAGGAACCCAAACGUGGAAUGCACGUCCACACUCCUGUAGAAAAAUCUCUUGAUGAACGUUUCUUUAAAGUACUCACAUGCCAUGUUGCUUGGCAGUUUAAUGUGACCCAUGAAAGCAAUUUGUCAUUUAGAAUAUUUCAAUUAGUUUAAAAAGGGUCACCUUUAAAAAUACUUGGAAUUACAUAUGUCAAAUAUUUGACCUAUUUGCUUUUUAGUAAAUAUUGAAAAUCAGGGGAAUAAACAAACAAAGAAAAAAUGGUGGCA
rnacentral:lncRNA from 1 species